UGGGGAAUUUUGCACAAUGGGCGCAAGCCUGAUGCAGCGACGCCGCGUGAUGGAUGAAGGCCUUCGGGUUGUAAACCUUUUUCGCUCAUGGUCAAGCCGCAGCUUUGGGUUGUGGUGAGGGUAGUGGGUAAAGAAGCGCCGGCUAACUACGUGCCAGCAGCCGCGGUAAUACGUAGGGCGCGAGCGUUGUCCGGAAUUAUUGGGCGUAAAGGGCUUGUAGGCGGUUGGCCGCGUCUGCCGGGAAAUCCUCUGGCUUAACUGGGGGCGUGCGGUGGGUACGGGUUGAUUUGAGGGCGGGAGGGGGGACUGGAAUUCCUGGUGUAGCGGUGGAAUGCGCAGAUAUCAGGAGGAACACCGGUGGCGAAGGCGGGUCUCUGGGCCGUUACUGACGCUGAGGAGCGAAAGCGGGGGGAGCGAACAGG
rnacentral:rRNA from 1 species